rnacentral:rRNA from 1 species
AACAGGAUUAGAUACCCGGGUAGUCCAUGNNNNNAACGAUGNGUGCUAAGUGUUGGAGGGUUUCCGCCCUUCANUGCUGCAGCUAACGCAUUAAGCACUCCGCCUGGGGAGUACGACCGCAAGGUUGAAACUCAAAGGAAUUGACGGGGGCCCGCACAAGCGGUGGAGCAUGUGGUUUAAUUCGAUGCUACGCGAAGAACCUUACCAGGUCUUGACAUCUUCUGCCAACCUAAGAGAUUAGGCGUUCCCUUCGGGGACAGAAUGACAGGUGGUGCAUGGUUGUCGUCAGCUCGUGUCGUGAGAUGUUGGGUUAAGUCCCGCAACGAGCGCAACCCUUAUUGUUAGUUGCCAGCAUUCAGUUGGGCACUCUAGCAAGACUGCCGGUGACAAACCGGAGGAAGGUGGGGAUGACGUCAAAUCAUCAUGCCCCUUAUGACCUGGGCUACACACGUGCUACAAUGGACGGUACAACGAGUCGCGAAACCGCGAGGUCAAGCUAAUCUCUUAAAGCCGUUCUCAGUUCGGAUUGUAGGCUGCAACUCGCCUACAUGAAGUUGGAAUCGCUAGUAAUCGUGGAUCAGCAUGCCACGGUAAAUACGUUCCCGGGGCCUUGUACACACCGCCCGUCACACCAUGAGAGUUUGUAACACCCAAAGCCGGUGAGGUAACCUUCGGGGGACCAGCCGUCUAAGGUGGGGACAGAUGAUUUAGGGUGAAAGUCGUAACAAAGGUAACC